UUUUGAUGUUAAUUAUUUAUUCCCGGGUAGUAUUAGUUAUGUUCUUGAAACCUAAAGAAUUUGGCGGUACUCCACUCCUUUCAGAGGAAUCUGCCCCGUUAUUGAUAAUCCGCAUUGGACCUUACUUAAUUUAUUUUGUUUGUAUACCGCCGUUGUAAUGAGGAUCUUUUUAGUGUUUUAAAUUUUCUGGUUUCUUUAUUUUGGUAGAUUUCAGGUCAAGGUGCAGCUUGUUUUUAAGUGUGAGGUGGAUUACAUUGCUUUUUUGGGUCUGAAUUAUUGGUUGUUACUUCUAAUAUGAAAUUGGAUUUGAUUGUAAUUUAUUGAAGAUUGUUUUUAUGAUAUUGGUUCUGGAUUAUGC
rnacentral:rRNA from 1 species